AUGAAGUACACUUGUUUUAAAAUUGACUUCUGUUUUGGACCAAGGUACUAUCAACAUAUCCCCGCAAAAAAAGGGAUCCCCGCUGAUUCCCCGGGUGAAGAUAGCACGGGCCAGAUCGAACCGGAGAAAUCCACAGCGACAGGGGAGGGGUCGGGGAGAAAAGCCACGGCUCGAGACCGCGAGCGCGACCAAGAUCCACCGCUUCGCUUCCGAUCUUCUCCGCCGGCGACUGGAGAGACGGCCCGGCCCCUCUCCCUCCGGUGCUCCGCCACCACGCUCCGUCUCUCCAAUGACCGCGACGUCUGUUGUCCUUACGCUGCUCCUUCCCCGGAUCUCCCCUCCGCCUCGAAUUUCCUGUCCCCUCCGGCGACGGCGACGGCGACGGUUCCGCGGUCAAAUUCCACUUACUUCGACCUAAGAUUCAAGAACCUGACCACUUCUCUUCUUCUUUUAACUAAUUUUACAGGCCGGGUGCAAAAUUUACUCACAGGUGACGAUAUGUCAUUCUUCUGUUGCAAGAUAGUCUUGUCCUUGCAAAGGAACGAACUGCUUCUAGACUAUGUAAUCCUGUUUGGAGUGAAGGAUAGAACGAUUCAGUUUCCCCCGGCCCACCUGUUACCAAAUGGCAGGGUCAUAACCCCCGUGGUGGGAGGGGGGAUCCCACCUAGCACGGAAAUCCCCCGGUUGGGGUUUUGCUGCCUUGGGUUUGCUCCCUGUUGCAGCCAAAUGAGGCUUGAGGAGGGGGGUGCAUCUACCUACGAGGGAAUGGCGGCGCCGCUGGACAAUGACGACUUGCUCUUUGAGAUCCUCCUCCGCCUCCCACCGCAGCCCGCCUCCCUCCCCCGCGCGUCGCUCGUCUGCAAGUGCUGGCGCUGCCUUGUCUCCGACCCCGGCUUCUUCCAACACAUUCGCGUCCACCACCACCGCAAACCUCCCCUCCUCGGUUUCUUCAACACAGGAUUUCAUGACACUUCCUUCAUGCCUACUCUCAUGGCCCCUGAUCGUGUCCCCUACAGACGCUUCUCCUUGCCGUGGGGUGAUGUAAGCCGCUUUAGUCUCCUCAACUACCGCCAUGGUCUCGUACUCAUCUCUGACAAGAGACAUCGCCAGUUCAUUGUGUGGGACCCUGUCAGUGGCGACCAGCACCGCCUCGCCGUUCCCGGGUCAUUUGAAAUGGACCCACUUUUUGUGUUUGGACAAACCUUUUCUUAA
rnacentral:rRNA from 1 species